UACGUAGGUGGCAAGCGUUGUCCGGAUUUACUGGGCGUAAAGAGCGCGCAGGCGGUCGUUCAAGUCGCGUGUGAAAGCCCCCGGCUCAACUGGGGAGGGUCACGCGAUACUGAUCGACUCGAAGGCAGGAGAGGGAAGUGGAAUUCCCGGUGUAGUGGUGAACUGCGUAGAUAUCGGGAGGAACACCAGUGGCGAAGGCGACUUCCUGCCUGUUCUUGACGCUGAGGCGCGAAAGCUAGGGGAGCAAACGGG
rnacentral:rRNA from 1 species